rnacentral:rRNA from 1 species
UACGUGGGUGGCAAGCGUUGUCCGGAUUUACUGGGCGUAAAGAGCGCGCAGGCGGUCGGAUAAGUCGAAUGUGAAAGCCCCCGGCUCAACUGGGGAGGGUCAUUCGAUACUGUUCGACUCGAAGGCAGGAGAGGGAAGUGGAAUUCCCGGUGUAGUGGUGAAAUGCGUAGAUAUCGGGAGGAACACCAGUGGCGAAGGCGACUUCCUGGCCUGUUCUUGACGCUGAGGCGCGAAAGCUAGGGGAGCAAACGGG